UACGUAGGGACCGAGCGUUGUCCGGAUUCAUUGGGCGUAAAGGGUGCGUAGGCGGCGCGGUAAGUCGGGUGUGAAAUCUUGGAGCUUAACUCCGAAACUGCAUUCGAUACUGCCGUGCUUGAGGACUGGAGAGGAGACUGGAAUUUACGGUGUAGCGGUGAAAUGCGUAGAUAUCGUAAGGAAGACCAGUGGCGAAGGCGGGUCUCUGGACAGUUCCUGACGCUGAGGCACGAAGGUCAGGGGAGCAAACGGG
rnacentral:rRNA from 1 species